GUGAUCGGCGCCGCCCUUCACAGCCUCACAGGUCUUCGUCGGAAUUGCCGGCGACGACGAGCAUCCAUCAGGACAUCUCUUCAUAACUGAAAAGAGUUUGGCCACAACAAGAACAUGAUGAAAAAUUCAGAGCAAUGCCCGCACGGGGAAAUUCCCGAAAGAAGAAAAGCACAAAAAAUCACAGAUCUCCCGACGGAUAUUUUAUCAAGGAUCUUGUCACUGUUGCCAAUAAAUGAAGCUAUAAGGACAAGUGUAUUGUCAAGAAAAUGGAAAUAUGUUUGGUGCAGCCACACCAACCUAACUCUUAAUAGAGGCACAAUGAGGAAAUAAUAUGUUAGGACCUUGACUGGUUAUCAUCGAUUGCUCAGGGAUAAUGAAUUUAUUACAAGAGCUGAUGCAGUGCUGCGUCAACACAGCGGAAUGAGUGUUGAGCGCAUGGAAAUUAAUUUUGAAUUGCACAGUAAGCAUGCAGACCAUAUUGAUAGAUGGGUGAACUUUGCAGUUGCAACAAAAACAAAGGAAUUUCUUAUUAAUUUAUAGGGUAAGGAUAAGAGCUCAAUUGCCAUAGCUAUGUCAAGUCAAGUUUAGAUAGCCAAAGAACCACCAUAUAAUUUGCCUUCACAGCUUUUCAGCCCCAGUUAUGGUUUAUACUUGCGGUGUCUGGAGCUUACGACCGUGUCUCUGCAGAUACCUCCUGAUUUCAAAGGAUUUCUCAACCUCAAGAGUCUUAGUUUAGUAGAUGUGAGUAUUACAGAUGAAGAAGUUCA